rnacentral:rRNA from 1 species
AUGUCUUCUCGUAGUGAGGUUUUAUCUAUAUACAAAAAAAUUGCUGCCAUGGUUCAUACCCAAUUUUCCACUCCUAUUCGUGUUUUUCGCGCAGAUUCAGCCGGUGAGUAUAUCUCUCAUGCGCUGCGAGGAUUUCUUGCUGAGCAGGGUACUCUUACUCAGUUCUCUUGCCCUGGUGCUCAUGCUCAGAAUGGUGUGGCUGAGCGCAAGCAUCGUCACCUUCUUGAGACGGCGCGUGCGAUGAUGAUCGCCGCCUCUCUUCCGCCUCACUUUUGGGCUGAGGCUGUUACCACUUCCACCUAUCUCAUCAACAUUCAACCUUCUACUGCUCUACAGGGUGAUAUUCCUCUCGAGCGUCUUUCUGGUCAUCCUCCUGAUUAUUCAGCGCUUUGUUUGUUUGGUUGCGUUUGCUAUGUUUUGCUUGCCCCUCGUGAACGCACCAAACUGACCGCUCGGUCUGUUGAGUGUGUCUUUCUUGGAUACAGUGAUGAGCAUAAGGGCUAUCGGCGUUGGGAUCCUGUCGGUCGCCGGAUGCGUAUUUCCCGGGAUGUGACUUUUGAUGAGUCUUGUCCCUUCUACCCGCGUCCAUCCUCCCCGGCUUUUUCAGCGGAGGACAUCUCUGUGCUUACGUUUUUGGAUACACCUCCCUCUGUGCCUAGUAUUCCUAUUCCCCGGCCUGCUGUAGCAGAUCCGACGAUGUCCUCUGAUACAGAUUCUUCUCCUCCCUCACCGCAUGACUCUCCACCUUCAUCACCAUCUCCCCCUUCUCUACCUUCAUCAUCGAUACCUUCCCCUUCUCCACCUUCGUCACCGAUACAUUCCUCGUCUCCACCUCCAGUGAUUCCACCUCUUCCCUCCUUUCCUUUCCAUUACACUCGUCGUCCACGUGUUGUGGAUAAAUCUACUGACGUGCCAUCUACUUCUGGUGCAUCGUCCUCCUCAUCCCGGCCGACUUAUGGUCUUCGGGCUCGGCCUCGCCCUCCCCCUGACCGCUAUUCUCCUAGUCGAUAUGGCCUUUCGGCUGUACUUGAGCCUACCUCUUAUCGCGAUGCUAUUGUUCAUCCUGAAUGGCAGUUUGCGAUGGCAGAGGAGCUUGCUGCUCUUGAGCGCACUGGCACGUGGGAGUCUUGUCUAUCUUGCUGUCACUCGUUCGGAUAUCUCCUAUCCCGUUCAUAUCUUGAGUCAGUUUGUUUCUUCUCCCACUUCGGUACACUAUAG